CCCAGACAGCCAGGAUGUUGGCUUAGAAGCAGCCAUCAUUUAAAGAAAGCGUAAUAGCUCACUGGUCGAGUCGGCCUGCGCGGAAGAUGUAACGGGGCUAAACCAUGCACCGAAGCUGCGGCAGCGACACUCAGGUGUUGUUGGGUAGGGGAGCGUUCUGUAAGCCUGUGAAGGUGGCCUGUGAGGGUUGCUGGAGGUAUCAGAAGUGCGAAUGCUGACAUAAGUAACGAUAAAGCGGGUGAAAAGCCCGCUCGCCGGAAGACCAAGGGUUCCUGUCCAACGUUAAUCGGGGCAGGGUGAGUCGACCCCUAAGGCGAGGCCGAAAGGCGUAGUCGAUGGGAAACGGGUUAAUAUUCCCGUACUUGGUGUUACUGCGAAGGGGGGACGGAGAAGGCUAUGUUGGCCGGGCGACGGUUGUCCCGGUUUAAGCGUGUAGGCUGGUUUUCCAGGCAAAUCCGGAAAAUCAAGGCUGAGGCGUGACGACGAGGCACUACGGUGCUGAAGCAACAAAUGCCCUGCUUCCAGGAAAAGCCUCUAAGCAUCAGGUAACAUCAAAUCGUACCCCAAACCGACACAGGUGGUCAGGUAGAGAAUACCAAGGCGCUUGA
rnacentral:rRNA from 1 species